rnacentral:piRNA from 1 species
UACACAUGAGAAUGCCUUCCAUGGUCAUCC